CAGUUAAAAAGCUCGUAGUUGGAUUUCUGUGGGGACGGAGCGGCCGGCCGCUACUAGCGGUUCGAGCUAGCGCUUUCCCUACAUCCUGCCGCGAACCGCGCUACCAUUAGUUUGGUGGCGCCGGGGAUCGGCUCGUUUUACUUUGAGAAAAAUAGAGUGUUCAAAGCAGGCCACACGCCUUGAAAUAAGUUAGCAUGGAAUAAUAACUAAGGACUUCGGUUCUAUUUUGUUGGUGUUGGGGACUGAAGUAAUGAUUGAUAGGGACAGUUGGGGCGGUCCGU
rnacentral:rRNA from 1 species